CCUACGGGAGGCAGCAGUGAGGAAUAUUGGUCAAUGGGCGGAAGCCUGAACCAGCCAAGUAGCGUGCAGGAUGACGGCCCUACGGGUUGUAAACUGCUUUUAUACGGGAAUAACGCGCCUUGCGUGUAGGUCUUUGCAUGUACCUUAUGAAUAAGGACCGGCUAAUUCCGUGCCAGCAGCCGCGGUAAGACGGAGGGUCCUGGCGUUAUACGGAUUGGUUGGGUUUAAAGGGAGCGUAGGCCGCAUGUCAAGCGUGCUGUGAAAUGUCCGGGCUCAACCCGGGCCUUGCAGCGCGAACUGGCGUGCUUGAGUCCGCGGAAAGCAGGCGGAAUUCGUCGUGUAGCGGUGAAAUGCGUAGAUAUGACGAGGAACCCCGAUGGCGAAGGCAGCUUGCUGCAGCGGAACUGACGCUGAUGCUCGAAAGCGCGGGUAUCGAACAGGAUUAGAUACCCCUGUAGUC
rnacentral:rRNA from 1 species